GUGAUGAGAAGUGAGUGCUCUCUCACCCCACCAGUCCAUUGGGAUCUCCACGGGCUCAUGCAAACUUACGACAUCCCCCCAUUCUCUUUUCACUUUGAUGGGAAGGCAUGGAAAACUUCAGUGCAUGGUACGAAACCUCGCAGGCUGAAAUGAAGUGAAAAGAAAUUCAAUCCCUGCUAGCAAGUGCCUGGACAGUAGUUUACAUAGGAGUCAGGCUGUCCUUUCCUCAUGGUUUGUUGCUGGUUCUUCUUCUCUUCUAUAUUAUCACUGCAAAGAGUUGUCCUUCCAACUGUGUGAGCUCUCAAGGUCUUCAGAGCAGCACCAAUGACAGAAAAUUAAUAAGAAGAAUCAGGAAUAACAACUAAGAAUAAAUACCCCUGCAAACCCUUCCUCAGUGUAGUUUGUAGGAGAUAUUCGACAUUGACUCAAGAGGACAAAGAAAGAAGACAGACUGACUAAAAAUGCUUACAUCUGGAAUGUUAGUAUUCUUAGCAGCGGUGUGUUGUACAAGAAACACAGAUGUCAGGGUGGAUAAACAAAAAUGAGCUUUCAAGGAAAAGCUACUGACAGAGGUUUAAGGGAGUCCUUGACUGUUUACAGUGGAGACUGGUGAGAAGGGAAGGACUUUCAUCUCUCUUCGCCACAGCCAAAGAAGCAGAAAAUAAGAAGAAUGUAUUUGUGCUGCAAAAGUAAUUGAAGUACCUUGGUAUUAAAGAAAACUGCUCUCUCCACUCCUGUCAGGAGAGGGAAUAAUGAACCUUGCUACAACAAGUGUGAUCAAUGACAGCUAACUAUCACAGCUGCAAGAGUUUCCAUCACAAGAGCUACAACAUCUCCUCAGACAUUAUGGAGAAGAGUAAAUAUAGUAAACAGUAAUCUGAGCAGGACAUACAUAACUGAGAAAAGCAUGUUUCAAUCAUUGUGUGAGCCAAGGGGAUGUUACAUAAUUUUUGCUAUUGUACAUACACCUGCAAUCCAGUACUGCAUUCUGUCUCUAUAAUUCUUGUUCAGAAUCUCCACAGUCAUGGAUUCAAGGAAUAGUUUGGGUUGGAAAGGACCUUUUGAGGUGAUUAUCUUCUACCCCACAUACAGUAAACAAUUGAUUUACAGGUGUUCCUUUUGCUAAAAGCCAUGUAAAGAGAAAAGCAUGUGACAAAAUAAUUUCAUUUAGUUUUAGAUUAACACUUCUAGCCCUUCAGCUGAACUAUGUGGCGAGUCUAGGUGAGGGUAGUAUUCCAUCAACAAUACAAAAAAACAGAAAAAGAAAACCAACCCAACGCUGAUUUUGUCAAAUUUUUUGCUUAGGAUGAAUACUUGGAUGUUUAAACAACAUCAAAAUUCUCUGCUUUAUUUUAACAUUUUGAAAUGUAUUUUUAUGUUCUUCAUUUUUAGUAUUACAUAUUAACAAUCCCAUAUAAACAGGCUUUUUUAUUGCUUCAAGAAUUCUGAAGACUUUUAUUUCUUCAAGAAUUCUGAAGACUUCCGUUUGAAUGAAUAUGUUUUUAAAUCUCACUUUUUUAGUAAAACUGCCAUUUUGCCCUCUGUACAUUUCUAGUUAUGCUCCUCUUGAGGCUAUAAAGUGCAGAGUGGUUCUUGAUUACAAUGUUGGAAACAGUGCUUAAUUUGUAUACAGAGAUCUGUAAAUGUGGCAGUUUCAGCCCCAGUAACUACUGAAAUGAAACAACUCCUUUCUUCUUGUUAGUGAUCCUCCUUUUUUUGAUCUUUGCUUUUUCCAUGACCAUGUGGUAGCUUUUACUGUACUUCUAGAUUGCACUAUAACCAUGGCAAUUUGCUCCAGAGUAAACAGAACAUGUACAAGCAAUUUAUAUUUUGUAGGCACUGAAAUUCAAGGCCAGCCCAGUGACAAUGUCAGAUAUGAACAAUGUAUUCAAGACAAAACUGUGAAUCAUUGCAACUGGAGGAAUGGCCCAUUUUCAGAGCUCACCACUCUUUUCUUCCUUGCUAUUAUUGCUCUGGAGAUGUGGGACAUAUUUUGGAUGAUGGUGUUUAGUCAAAAGCCUCAUCUCCCUGUUCAGGAUGGAGCCUGAAUUUCAAUUCUGAUGCACUGCUGACACUAGAAACAGGUGGCUGUGAAGCCACUGGAGUAAAAUUGCUGCUGAGAGAGGUUAGCUGAGUUUGUGUCUUGUGUUUUGAGCACAGAAAUGUCAAGAGACAAGGAGAUUUAUAUCUGUUUCCCAAACUGAAAGUAUUUUGUAUCUUGCAUCACUUAUUUUGAUCACAAUGUGCAUUUUAAAGUAAUUUAGACAAUUCCUUCUAGUGCUAUUUCUCUAAAGAACAGUCUGGAAGAGGUGAAAAAUGGAUGCCUUGUGUCUUAUGACAAUAAAUACAUCCUCAGGCUUUUCAGAAUGGUUUGGAGCUAAAAGAUCUGAUUUACAUCUAAUUUGUACCAGAGAAAGGAAUGUCAUGUCAUUUCAAUAUAGAUAGUGAUAAACAUUGGUUUUCAGCAAUAUAAAUAAUACAGUAAGUAAACUGGAGGUCAGGGACUCAAAAAACCUUAAUUUAUACCAUAAAUCUUUGUAAACUCUUGCUGGGAAAUUUUUCUAUCCACAAUAUUUUUUUUUUUAAAUUUAAUCAUUUGUUGUUAAAAGGAACCAGGAUGCAAUUGAAACACAGUGCAAAACUCAUUUCCUGGGACUAAAACGAGCUGGGAAUUUAUACCAGGGCAAUAAUUGUUUUCCAGAACUAUCUGUAGGCCUCACCUACUAUCAAGAUUUCAGAACCUAAGAAAAACGUAUCAAUAAGAAGAAGCCUCUCCCUCAAAGUGAACAUCCUACAGAAACACAGAGAGCCCAGUCAGGAUACUCCAGUGUCAGCCUUAGUCUCCCAUGGAAGCAAAGCAGUUAACAUCCCAUAGGAGACCUAGCUAGCUAAGAAACCUGCAGCUAAUGGUCUUGCCAGCCAGCACAAUUUAAUUAACAACAGUGUGGAUUAUGUAAAGGCAGAGGAUUCUUUGUAAAUGGAUGUGCUGUCUGGAGGGUUUCAAUUGCUCCUGAUAAUUGUCAUAUUCAGCUUAUCUGGCUGAUUUUGGGUGGAGUUAAAUAAUCUAGAGAUAAAUGAAUUCUGCUACUGCCCCAUUUUGGCAGAGUUCUGUCAAUCUGUUGUCCAGUUUUCUCUCCUAUAGCUAUAUUGAUAAGCUUCUCAUUUUCUGACCUGAUCUUGAUUGUACCUCUGCUUAUUUUUUCAUGACACCACUAUGAAUAAAAA